rnacentral:lncRNA from 1 species
ACAUAUUCAAUCCAUUAUAGAUAAUAUUGACAGCCUUGGAUCACGAAGUAGCUGCUUGGGCUGUGUGACCAUCUUUUCCCAGGAAAGUACCAAGCUGUUUUACAAAGACACCAUACCAUGGACUCUCCUUCCUGCAAUGAUGAGGACAUGAGUUCUUCCACACCCCACCCACGGGGCAUGCAAGCUGCAAAGAUAGAGCCGAAAAAGUGAUUUCGUUAAGCGCUCUAUAGAUUUCGGCAGAGCAAAAUAGCACAUCAAAUACAUGACGAUGGACACAUGCAUGUUGAAUCUCAGGACAUGGAUGAGUGGAGGAUCAAGCCUGCCAAGCGUAAAGGGACUCUGCUGGGGAGGAGGACACAGAAACUGUCGUUCAGCCGUUCUCAGAACUUAUUCGUCUAUUAAAAAGUUCAUCACCCCAGAGAAGAAGGGAAAAGCCAUAUUGGGAGGGUCAUGAAUCCAGAUCCAGAAGAUACUC